CAGCCGCCGCGGUAAAACGUAGGUCCCGAGCGUUGUCCGGAUUUAUUGGGCGUAAAGCGAGCGCAGGCGGUUAGAUAAGUCUGAAGUUAAAGGCUGUGGCUUAACCAUAGUACGCUUUGGAAACUGUUUAACUUGAGUGCAAGAGGGGAGAGUGGAAUUCCAUGUGUAGCGGUGAAAUGCGUAGAUAUAUGGAGGAACACCGGUGGCGAAAGCGGCUCUCUGGUCUGUAACUGACGCUGGGGAGCGAAAGCGUGGGGAGCGAACAGGAUUAGAUACCCCCGUAGUCCCUGUCUCUUAUACA
rnacentral:rRNA from 1 species